CUAAAUUUAUACACAGUCAUAAUCAUAACUAUCAAUUUAUUCUCGGCUAAAUAUAUUUAGUGCAAUCAGCAUGAGGCCUUAGUUUCAAAAAAUCAGUUCAGGAGACACUUUUUGCGGCAUUCUCCAUGAUCAUAAUGUCAUACAAGAUUUAUCUCGAGUCCAUCCUCAAACAACAUACACAUAUGAACCUAAACAUUCUAUAUAUUGUAUGUACCCUUCAAGCAAGAAAACUGAGUUCAACAAAGAAACUCCGACCUCAGACCGCGAAAAUCGGGGUUGCACUCACACACUUGCAACUUUUUGUGUAUGAACACAAAAGUCGAACGAGAAUCGUGGUGAAAAAUGAGAAAAGGAAAAGAAAGACAAGGCCAACAAGAGCCAAAGCGUCAUUUUGUUAUUUUUUGUUGAAGUGUUUGGUCGCGUCGUGUCUCGUGUCGUUGUUUGUAUAAUGUUAGAUUAUUAACUAUAAACAAUUAUAUUAAAUUUAUAAACAAUAUGGAAAACAAAAAAGAUGUAAUCUCUAAUGAUGAAGAAAAAUCCAGAAGGUGAAACAUGCGAUUGGGUAUCUAAAAAAAAAACACCAACAA